AUGGGCUGGCCCAUGAUGUGGAACCGUCUACUCGUGCUUACCCGUGCGCACAGUGCUCGUGUCCAGGGGAGGAAGGGUUCCGGCGGCGGCGGCGGCGGCGGCGGCAACCGCACCAUGAAGAUGGCCGGAAAGUUGGUCAUGUCCAAGAGAGGUCUAGCCAUUGCUGAGAGAGGGGACGAGUCUGAUGAGGAGCAACUGGAGAGAUACAAGCAUGUCUUCGGUCAACCCCUCUCACCGGAACAGAUCGAGGCUUUGACCGCGCUUGCCAAGGCCGGUGACGCGAGGGCCAGCCAAGGUCUAGCUUCCAGCUUGUCAAUUUUAUAG
rnacentral:rRNA from 1 species